GGUUAAGUGACUAAGCGUACACGGUGGAUGCCUUGGCAGUCAGAGGCGAUGAAAGACGUAGUAACUUGCGAUAAGCCCAGAUUAGGUAGUAACAACCAUUUGAGUCUGGGAUUUCUGAAUGGGGAAACCCACGUGCAUAAGCACGUAUCCUUACCUGAAUACAUAGGGUAAGGAGGCGAACCGGGGGAACUGAAACAUCUAAGUACCCCGAGGAAAAGAAAUCAACCGAGAUUCCGAAAGUAGCGGCGAGCGAAAUUGGACUAGCCCUUAAGCUUUACACGCGUUAGACGAACGGUCUGGAAAGUCCGACGAUACAGGGUGAUAGUCCCGUAGUUGACGACGUGUGUUCAGUGAAAUCGAGUAGGGCGGGACACGUGAUAUCCUGUCUGAAUAUGGGGGGACCAUCCUCCAAGGCUAAAUACUACUGACUGACCGAUAGUGAACCAGUACCGUGAGGGAAAGGCGAAAAGAACCCUGUGAGGGGAGUGAAAUAGAACCUGAAACCGUGUACGUACAAGCAGUAGGAGCAGGCUUUGUCCUGUGACUGCGUACCUUUUGUAUAAUGGGUCAGCGACUUAUAUUCAGUGGCAAGGUUAACCAUCUAGGGGAGCCGUAGGGAAACCGAGUCUUAACUGGGCGUUCAGUCUCUGGAUAUAGACCCGAAACCAGGUGAUCUAGCCAUGGGCAGGUUGAAGGUUGAGUAACAUCAACUGGAGGACCGAACCGACUAAUGUUGAAAAAUUAGCGGAUGACUUGUGGCUAGGGGUGAAAGGCCAAUCAAACCUGGAGAUAGCUGGUUCUCCCCGAAAGCUAUUUAGGUAGCGCCUCGGACGAAUACUACUGGGGGUAGAGCACUGUUAAGGCUAGGGGGUCAUCCCGACUUACCAACCCUUUGCAAACUCCGAAUACCAGUAAGUACUAUCCGGGAGACACACGGCGGGUGCUAACGUCCGUCGUGGAGAGGGAAACAACCCAGACCGCCAGCUAAGGUCCCAAAUUACUACUAAGUGGGAAACGAUGUGGGAAGGCUCAGACAGCCAGGAUGUUGGCUUAGAAGCAGCCAUCAUUUAAAGAAAGCGUAAUAGCUCACUGGUCGAGUCGGCCUGCGCGGAAGAUGUAACGGGGCUAAGUAGUAAACCGAAGCUGCGGCAAUGUGCUUUUGCACAUUGGGUAGGGGAGCGUUCUGUAAGCGGUUGAAGGUGUGUGGUAACGCAUGCUGGACGUAUCAGAAGUGCGAAUGCUGACAUGAGUAACGAUAAAGGGGGUGAAAAACCUCCUCGCCGGAAGACCAAGGGUUCCUGUCCAACGUUAAUCGGGGCAGGGUAAGUCGACCCCUAAGGCGAGGCCGAAAGGCGUAGUCGAUGGGAAACGGGUUAAUAUUCCCGUACUUCUUACAAUUGCGAUGGGGGGACGGAGAAGGCUAGGUGGGCCUGGCGACGGUUGUCCAGGUUCAAGUGCGUAGGCUUAAGAGUUAGGUAAAUCCGGCUCUUUUUAAGGCUGAGACACGACGUCGAGCCACUACGGUGGUGAAGUCAUUGAUGCCAUGCUUCCAGGAAAAGCCUCUAAGCUUCAGAUUGUAAGGAAUCGUACCCCAAACCGACACAGGUGGUCGGGUAGAGAAUACCAAGGCGCUUGAGAGAACUCGGGUGAAGGAACUAGGCAAAAUGGUACCGUAACUUCGGGAGAAGGUACGCUCUUGAUGGUGAAGUCCCUCGCGGAUGGAGCUGACGAGAGUCGCAGAUACCAGGUGGCUGCAACUGUUUAUUAAAAACACAGCACUGUGCAAAAUCGUAAGAUGACGUAUACGGUGUGACGCCUGCCCGGUGCCGGAAGGUUAAUUGAUGGGGUUAGACUUCGGUCGAAGCUCUUGAUCGAAGCCCCGGUAAACGGCGGCCGUAACUAUAACGGUCCUAAGGUAGCGAAAUUCCUUGUCGGGUAAGUUCCGACCUGCACGAAUGGCGUAAUGAUGGCCACGCUGUCUCCACCCGAGACUCAGUGAAAUUGAAAUCGCUGUGAAGAUGCAGUGUACCCGCGGCUAGACGGAAAGACCCCGUGAACCUUUACUACAGCUUGGCACUGAACAUUGACCCUACAUGUGUAGGAUAGGUGGGAGGCUUUGAAGCACGUACGCCAGUAUGUGUGGAGCCGUCCUUGAAAUACCACCCUUGUAGUGUUGAUGUUCUAACGUCGACCCCUUAUCGGGGUUGCGGACAGUGCCUGGUGGGUAGUUUGACUGGGGCGGUCUCCUCCCAAAGAGUAACGGAGGAGCACGAAGGUGGGCUAAUCACGGUUGGACAUCGUGAGGUUAGUGCAAUGGCAUAAGCCCGCUUGACUGCGAGAAUGACAAUUCGAGCAGGUGCGAAAGCAGGUCAUAGUGAUCCGGUGGUUCUGAAUGGAAGGGCCAUCGCUCAACGGAUAAAAGGUACUCCGGGGAUAACAGGCUGAUACCGCCCAAGAGUUCAUAUCGACGGCGGUGUUUGGCACCUCGAUGUCGGCUCAUCACAUCCUGGGGCUGAAGUCGGUCCCAAGGGUAUGGCUGUUCGCCAUUUAAAGUGGUACGCGAGCUGGGUUUAGAACGUCGUGAGACAGUUCGGUCCCUAUCUGCCGUGGGCGUUGGAAGAUUGAAGGGGGCUGCUCCUAGUACGAGAGGACCGGAGUGGACGAACCUCUGGUGUUCGGGUUGUGUCGCCAGACGCAUUGCCCGGUAGCUAAGUUCGGAAUCGAUAACCGCUGAAAGCAUCUAAGCGGGAAGCGAGCCCUGAGAUGAGUCUUCCCUGAUACUUUAAGUAUCCUAAAGGGUUGUCGGAGACUACGACGUUGAUAGGUCAGGUGUGUAAGUGCUGUGAGGCAUUGAGCUAACUGAUACUAAUUGCCCGUGAGGCUUAACCAU
rnacentral:rRNA from 1 species